AUGCAACAGUAUUCAUGGGCAGCACUAUGGGCCACACUUUGUAUGAAUCAGACCACUGAUGUGAAUAUUGACCCAGACCUGCAGAGGGUGGAGGGGAAAAGGAGGCCUGGGGCAGGCCAGCCCACUGUGGGGACCAAGGUCUGUGUUACUGUGGCCUGGACUCCUGUCCUCCUUGUUCUCUUGUCUGUGUUUGCAGGUUCCCUGCCCCAGCCUGUGGUGACCCAGCCGCCCUCCCUCUCUGCAUCUCUGGGAUCAUCCGCCAGACUCACCUGCACCUUCAGCACUGGGUUCAGUGUGGGCAGCUACCAAACAUACUGGUUCCAGCAGCAGCCAGGGAGCCCUCCCCGGUAUCUGCUGAGGUUCUAUUCAGACUCAGAUAAAUACCAGGGCUCCGGGGUCCCCAGCUGCUUCUCGGGCUCCAAAGAUGUCUCAGCCAAUGCAGGGGUCCUGCUCAUCUUUGGGCUGCAGCUUGAGAAGGAGACUGAUUAUUACUGUGCAUUCUGGCACAGUGGUGCUGGUCACAGCGACACACACAGAUGCGAAACUGGGACAAACACCUGA